rnacentral:rRNA from 1 species
ACUCGUGGGGCGGGGGCACGUGGGGACUCCUACGGGAGGCAGCAGUGGGGAAUCUUGCACAAUGGGGGCAACCCUGAUGCAGCAGACGCCGCGUGGAGGAUGAAGC